UGGGGAAUAUUGGACAAUGGGCGAAAGCCUGAUCCAGCCAUGCCGCGUGUGUGAAGAAGGUCUUCGGAUUGUAAAGCACUUUAAGUUGGGAGGAAGGGCAUUAACCUAAUACGUUAGUGUUUUGACGUUACCGACAGAAUAAGAACCGGCUAACUCUGUGCCAGCAGCCGCGGAAAUACAGAGGGUGCAAGCGUUAAUCGGAAUUACUGGGCGUAAAGCGCGCGUAGGUGGUUUGUUAAGUUGGAUGUGAAAUCCCCGGGCUCAACCUGGGAACUGCAUUCAAAACUGACUGACUAGAGUAUGGUAGAGGGUGGUGGAAUUUCCUGUGUAGCGGUGAAAUGCGUAGAUAUAGGAAGGAACACCAGUGGCGAAGGCGACCACCUGGACUAAUACUGACACUGAGGUGCGAAAGCGUGGGGAGCAAACA
rnacentral:rRNA from 1 species